rnacentral:rRNA from 1 species
GGAAUCUUGGACAAUGGGGGCAACCCUGAUCCAGCGACGCCGCGUGGGUGAUGAAGGCCUUCGGGUUGUAAAGCCCUUUCACCGGGGACGAUGAUGCCGGUACCCGGAUAAGAAGCACCGGCUAACUCCGUGCCAGCAGCCGCGGUAAGACGGCGGGUGCUAGCGUUGUUCGGAAUCACUGGGCGUAAAGGGCGCGUAGGCGGCGUCGCAAGUCGGCUGUGAAAGCCCGGGGCUCAACCCCGGAGGUGCAGCCGAGACUGCGGUGCUCGAGGUCGGAAGAGGAGGGUGGAAUACCCAGUGUAGAGGUGAAAUUCGUAGAUAUUGGGUGGAACACCGGUGGCGAAAGCGGCUCUCUGGUCCGACACUGACGCUGAGGCGCGAAAGCGUGGGGAGCAAAC